UACGUAGGGUGCAAGCGUUAAUCGGAAUUACUGGGCGUAAAGCGUGCGCAGGCGGUGAUGUAAGACAGAUGUGAAAUCCCCGGGCUUAACCUGGGAACUGCAUUUGUGACUGGCGAGCUAGAGUAUGGCAGAGGGGGGUAGAAUUCCACGUGUAGCAGUGAAAUGCGUAGAGAUGUGGAGGAAUACCGAUGGCGAAGGCAGCCCCCUGGGCCAAUACUGACGCUCAUGCAUGAAAGCGUGGGGAGCAAACAGG
rnacentral:rRNA from 1 species